UUGCUGUGAUGAAACUAACUAGCUCACUUUGAAUAAAGAUGAAAAGUUAAGAACACCUGAGCAUC
rfam:Xenopus tropicalis strain Nigerian Chr04_contig_1366, whole genome shotgun sequence.